GAUUUCUGGCUUGAAACACUAAGCCGGCCACGGUUUCGUGUGUUAGUGCUUGGUGUUCUGGCCAUCCUUCCAGUCGCUACCUACUUCUCUUCAUUGAUUAGUAGGUGGUACUGGAUCUUUUACUUUGAAAAAAUUAGAGUGUUUCAAGCAGGCUAUUGCUAUGAAUACAUUAGCAUGGAAUAAUAAUUUAGGACUUCGGUUCUAUUUUGUUGGUUCUCGGGACCGAAGUAAUGAUUGAUAGGGAUAGUUGGGGGUGCUAGUAUUCAGCGGCCAGAGGUGAAAUUCUCGGAUUCGCUGAAGACUAACUUAUGCGAAAGCAUU
rnacentral:rRNA from 1 species